CAUUAUGAACGCUAGCGACAGGCUUAACACAUGCAAGUCGAGGGGCAGCACAGGUAGCAAUACCGGGUGGCGACCGGCGCACGGGUGAGUAACGCGUAUGCAACUUGCCUAUCAGAGGGGGAUAACCCGGCGAAAGUCGGACUAAUACCGCAUGAAGCAGGGAUCCCGCAUGGGAAUAUUUGCUAAAGAUUCAUCGCUGAUAGAUAGGCAUGCGUUCCAUUAGGCAGUUGGCGGGGUAACGGCCCACCAAACCGACGAUGGAUAGGGGUUCUGAGAGGAAGGUCCCCCACAUUGGUACUGAGACACGGACCAAACUCCUACGGGAGGCAGCAGUGAGGAAUAUUGGUCAAUGGCCGAGAGGCUGAACCAGCCAAGUCGCGUGAGGGAUGAAGGUUCUAUGGAUCGUAAACCUCUUUUAUAAGGGAAUAAAGUGCGGGACGUGUCCCGUUUUGUAUGUACCUUAUGAAUAAGGAUCGGCUAACUCCGUGCCAGCAGCCGCGGUAAUACGGAGGAUCCGAGCGUUAUCCGGAUUUAUUGGGUUUAAAGGGUGCGUAGGCGGCCUUUUAAGUCAGCGGUGAAAGUCUGUGGCUCAACCAUAGAAUUGCCGUUGAAACUGGGGGGCUUGAGUAUGUUUGAGGCAGGCGGAAUGCGUGGUGUAGCGGUGAAAUGCAUAGAUAUCACGCAGAACCCCGAUUGCGAAGGCAGCCUGCCAAGCCAUGACUGACGCUGAUGCACGAAAGCGUGGGGAUCAAACAGGAUUAGAUACCCUGGUAGUCCACGCAGUAAACGAUGAUCACUAGCUGUUUGCGGUACACUGUAAGCGGCACAGCGAAAGCGUUAAGUGAUCCACCUGGGGAGUACGCCGGCAACGGUGAAACUCAAAGGAAUUGACGGGGGCCCGCACAAGCGGAGGAACAUGUGGUUUAAUUCGAUGAUACGCGAGGAACCUUACCCGGGUUUGAACGCAUUCGGACCGAGGUGGAAACACCUUUUCUAGCAAUAGCCGUUUGCGAGGUGCUGCAUGGUUGUCGUCAGCUCGUGCCGUGAGGUGUCGGCUUAAGUGCCAUAACGAGCGCAACCCUUGCCACUAGUUACUAACAGGUGAUGCUGAGGACUCUGGUGGGACUGCCAGCGUAAGCUGCGAGGAAGGCGGGGAUGACGUCAAAUCAGCACGGCCCUUACAUCCGGGGCGACACACGUGUUACAAUGGCGUGGACAAAGGGAAGCCACCUGGCGACAGGGAGCGAAUCCCCAAACCACGUCUCAGUUCGGAUCGGAGUCUGCAACCCGACUCCGUGAAGCUGGAUUCGCUAGUAAUCGCGCAUCAGCCAUGGCGCGGUGAAUACGUUCCCGGGCCUUGUACACACCGCCCGUCAAGCCAUGGGAGCCGGGGGUACCUGAAGUCCGUAACCGCGAGGAUCGGCCUAGGGUAA
rnacentral:rRNA from 1 species